UAACUUGCACCAAGUCAUGUAGCUAAUAAGCGGAAGGGCUGGUUUUUGAGCCCUGCUGAUCUAUUCGGGUGAGGCCAUAGGCACCUGAGCAGGGAUGGAGGCCUGUGAGUUACUAUGGAAAGUGGAUAUGCAGAGGAAUGCUGUGGUUGGAAUGCAGAGCUGGGUGGUUGGUGCUAAGGCAGGGUGCUCCUAACUGCAGGUGAAGACUCAUUAGUGGAAGGGGAAAUCAAUUCAGGAAGGUAAAUCAUCCUCAGAGGCAGUAGCCAUUACAGGCAUGUCGGGGAAGCCAAGAAAGAGAUCUUUUUCUCAGCCUUUAGGACGUAGCUGGGCUUACAGGAACUACUUGCCCAGACUCCACCUCUUGAGUUCCCAGUACAUCCUUACCUACCCAGUGAUCAUGUCCUGAUCAAGACCUGAAAGGAGGACAAACUUGAGCCAGCCUGGGAAGGACCUUAUCAGGUGCUCUUCACAACUGAGACGGCUGUCUGCACCGCAGAGAAAGGUUGGACCCACUACACUCAUACCAUGUGGUCAUACCAUGUGGUAGUCUUGCCAGCCAAAGACAACUUUCCGCCGAACAUAAGUACCUUUGCCCUUCUCUAGAGAGAGACCCCCCUUGCCCUUUCUGGAGUAUGGUAUGGUGGACUACUCAAGCACAAUGGGUGGGCAGCUCCAACAUACAAAUAUGGUCAGUGGGGAGCCCUCUCAGUGGCUCCUUGGCUGGCAUCACAAAGGAGUCUAAUAUCUCUAGUACAGGGGACUCCACCUCACGACUGUCAGAACUUACAAUGUAAUCUGCUUCUAUUAACCCUUAAACCAGGAAGUAAAUUAAUCUUUCCACAGUGGUUUGGUCUUGGUGCAGACAUAUCAGGCAGAGACCCCAUAGGAACGUUAGGCAUCCAAUUUGUUACCCAGCCAAAGCCCUUUCUGAAUCCUAGUUCCCCCAGUCAGAGUCCUAACUAGGUUGAACCAAUAAGUCAUAACCAAUUCCUCAACUCCAGUAAUGACCCUAACAAAGUCACCAUAGUAGAGGUUAAGGACCUUCACCAAACUAUAAAGAUUGAGGUUGGAUAUGGGGAGGCAAAUGCUUGGCUGGAAUAGAUUAAAUAUUCUGUCCACACUCUAAACAAAAGUGACUGUUAUGUUUGAGCGGCAGGGAGGCUGGAAGCUCAAGUAGUGCUGUUUCCACUUGGAUGGAUCUGGGACACUGUGGGCAUGGAAUGCUUGAUAGCCCUCUUUCAGGACAGCCAAGCCUGAGGCAAUGAAUCUUGUAGGACCUUUUCACUGCUGUUCCCAACUGCAAAAGGUCCAAACAAGGUCUCCUAAAAUGGUCAAGCCCCCAGCCCGGAAUAUUAACUACACCUCAUGCCUCUCCAGAUGGGGGGAGCAGUCAGCAUUUCUGGAAAUGUGACUGAGUUCAAUGAAGGCCAGUCCUUUGAGGAGCUAAGUAAUCAGUCUACACUGACUGUAGCCACAGCAGACAUCUAGUGGUAUUGCAGAGGGCCAUUGCUUGAGACUUUACCAGCCGAUUGGAGUGGAACUUGCACUCUAGUUCAAUUGGCCAUCUCUUUCACCUUGGCAUUUCAAUACCCUAAUCCAGGGGUGAGCAACAUGGCAUGCCAGUAACUUUUGCUGGCACGCGAAACCCUCUCUUAAAAUCUUCCAUUUACAAUUUUUGUGAACAUUUGAAUGACUUAAAUGUUAAAUUACAAGGAACUGACAAGA